GCCAAACAGCUAGCUUAACUACAACAUAAUUUGAUAAUAUAAAUAAAAAGUAAAACUUUUAUAAUAAACUAAAUCAUUCUUUUACCUUAGUAUGGGAGACAGAAAAGGUUAUACAUAAAGCAAUAGAAACAGUACCGCAAGGGAAAGCUGAAAGAGAAAUGAAAUAAUCCAUAUAAGUAUUAAAAAGCAAAGAUUAAACCUUGUACCUUUUGCAUCAUGAUUUAGCUAGUUUACGCAAGCAAAGAGACCUUUAGUUUGAAACCCCGAAACCAGGUGAGCUACCCCGAGACAGCCUAUUAUAGGGCCAACCCGUCUCUGUGGCAAAAGAGUGGGAAGACCUCCGGGUAGAAGUGACAGACCUACCGAACCUGGUGAUAGCUGGUUGCCUAAGAAAUGGAUAGAAGUUCAGCCUCAUUUUACCUCAAAUCAAAAGCCUUAAAAAGAUUAAAAGAGAAAAACAUGAGAGUUAGUUAAAAGGGGUACAGCCCAUUUAACCAAGGACACAACCUUAGCAGGUGGAUAAAGAUCAUAAUAUAUAAAAACAGGCUGUUCUAGUGGGCCUAAAAGCAGCCACCUAAACAGAAAGCGUUAAAGCUCAGACAGAAAAAAGUUUAUUAUCCUGAUAAUAAAUCUUACUCCCCUAACUUUAUUAGGCCAAUCCAUGUUUUAACAUGGAAGAGAUUAUGCUAAAAUGAGUAACAAGAAGGCCAGCCCUUCUCCACAGCACAAGUGUAUACCAAACCGGACCAACCAUUGGCAAUUAACGAACUCAACUAAAGAGAGUAUUAUGCAUUACAACAAAAUCAAGAAAAUCCCACAGAAAGAUUAUCGUUAACCCCACACUGGAGUGCUAUUUAAAGGAAAGACUAAAAGAAAAGGAAGGAACUCGGCAAACACAAGCCUCGCCUGUUUACCAAAAACAUCGCCUCUUGCAACAAAACAAGUAUAAGAGGUCCAGCCUGCCCAGUGACCACAAGUUUAACGGCCGCGGUAUUUUGACCGUGCAAAGGUAGCGCAAUCACUUGUCUUUUAAAUAAAGACCUGUAUGAAUGGCUAAACGAGGGCUUAACUGUCUCCCAUUUCCAGUCAGUGAAAUUGAUUUACCCGUGCAGAAGCGGGUAUAAAAAUACAAGACGAGAAGACCCUUUGGAGCUUAAGGUACAAAACUCAACCACGUCAAACAACUCUAUAAAAAGCAACUUAAACCUUGUGGCAAUUGAGACUUUACCUUCGGUUGGGGCGACCACGGAGGAAAGUAAAGCCUCCAAGUGGAUUAGGGAUAACCCCCUAAAACUAAGAGAGACAUCUCUAAGCAGCAGAACAUCUGACCAUGCAUGAUCCGGCUAACUCAGCCGAUCAACGAACCAAGUUACCCUAGGGAUAACAGCGCAAUCCCCUCCCAGAGUCCAUAUCGACGAGGGGGUUUACGACCUCGAUGUUGGAUCAGGACAUCCUAAUGGUGCAGCCGCUAUUAAGGGUUCGUUUGUUCAACGAUUAAAGUCCUACGUGAUCUGAGUUCAGACCGGAGCAAUCCAGGUCAGUUUCUAUCUGUACAGCUACUUUUCCUAGUACGAAAGGACCGGAAAAGAAGGGCCCAUGCCUGAAGCACGCCCUACCCCUAAUUUAUGAAAACAAAUAAAUAUAAAUAAGGGGGAGCAAAACCAAAUAAGCCUAAAUAAGGCCAAU
rnacentral:rRNA from 1 species